rnacentral:lncRNA from 1 species
UCAUACUCUAUUUGCAGCUAGCCAAAUGCUAAAUUAGAAUCACACUGAAAGGGAGUACGUAGUAGAUAUUGAAGUUUCUUAGAAGUGCUAAACCAAAUGGUAUAGAAUGCUUCAAACUGAAAAGACUCCUUUUAUAGAAAUGGGUUGAUUCACCUUUUGAUCCACUACUGUCAUGAAACAAACUGAGAUCAACGCAAUCAAGCUAAAUCAGCACAAAAUAGACAUGAUAUCACAUAUAUUUUAUUAAUUUAGGCAAAAUAAAAUGUGAAACUUUUAUUUUCCAUGCAUUGCAAUUGAAGAUGGAAGCAUUUCACAUGGACUAAAGAAAAAUGCUACAUACAAUUAAUUGAGCACCAGCAAAAGAAAAGAGUCCAGCACCGGAAGCAGUUCCAUCAUUUUGCAUCAACAUUGUAUCACUCCUUUUUCUCUUCCUUGGAAUCCUCUACCUUGGCUUCCUUUGCCUUUGGUUUUCCCUGCUUGGGCUUCAUGAAGCAGAAACAUGAGCAACAAGGACA